rnacentral:sRNA from 1 species
GCUGGGCAUGGUGGUGCAUGCCUGUAAUCCCAGCAGCUCUGGAGGCUGAGGGGGAGGAUCACAAGUUCAAAGCCAACCUCACUAUCUU